GCAGUUCCCCUCUACCUGUGAGGAGUCGGCCUCGCCGUUCGUCUUCAUCUGCACCAACCCCCAGGAGCUGCUGGUCAAUUCCCCAUGAAAGGGAAGCACAAGAUCUGGAAGCUGGAGAGCCAUUACCACCAGGGAGCCAAGAAGGGGCUGGUCCCGUCCGCUGCCGAGUGACGACGGAGGACGAGUCCGGCAGGGAAAACGGUGUGAUCACACGGGAACGCGGCCAAAAGCACCACCUGACUGCACAGUCCACCGGGUGACCGGAACCUGGCAGCAGGACGCCCAGUCCGCCGUCUUCCUGUCUGGAAUCGCUCGCAAUCCAGAACUGAAGCACACAGCGAGAAGUUGCCUCACCGCUUUGACAGAAGUUCCUCAGUCUGUCUCUGUCUCUGCUGCUCCUGUGUCUCUUACUGCAAUUAAAAUCUGAUUUGUCGAAAAAAAAACGCAAAUCCAAAAUGAGGAUGCCGUCUUUGAGAAAUGUUUGGGAGACGCUCACACCAGAGCAGGGUUGGUUUUAAUUAACCUUUCACGCUUUAUGAGGCGGCAGAAGGAAAGAAAUCUCAAUAACCGCAUCUCAAUAACCGCACGAAUGUUACUCCCGCCUGUAAUUACACCCCCCCCCCCCCCCCCCCCCACACACACACACACACACACACACACACACACACACACAUACACACCCGAGGCUGCAUUUGGCUUGACAAUAGCAUUGCGUUAAGAGGAAAUACAAGCGUCUCAUUAUUUCCAAUGAGACGGUUUCAUCAGAACGUUGUGGGGGUGGGGGGGUUGGAUCAGAUCUGAGCGUCGGCUCACCCUCAUAGUGUUAAAAUCUGGAAAUCCUGCUAAUUGUUUUGUUUACUUCAGUCAUUCCAGUGGAAGCUGAUCUCUUUUCUCUUCAGACUCGUGAAGUUCGGUGUCCUGUGGGCGAACUGGGACUUCUGGGUUUGGUAUUUUCACCCGCUCGGCUCUACCUGCAGCGACAUGCCCUCUCUGAGGGAAAACCCUCGGGCGCGGGGAUAUUUCCAGUCUAAACAGCGUGGGUUAUCUGGCAUGCGCUCGCCACAAAACUCCAAACAAGUUUCCAACUCCGGGCUGGUUGAUUUCACAACUCUGUCAGUGCUUCAACCUCUAUUGACACACUUUGACUGCAGCUGCGUUUUAUUGGACCCAUCAGCCAGGAGUGGCUUUGGUCCUUGAGGCAGAAAGCGAACACUGGGGGAGAAAAGAGAAAGUGUGAGGAUCUGAACCUGUUUGACACUCACUGGGAGGGAUCGCCUAAAAAAAAUCCCACCGAGGCGUCCGUCCUCCAAACCGCCGCACGCCUUCAGUCCACAGUACGCGACAGGUGGUCAUAAUGUAAUGGCUGAUGGUUGCCCGUCAUCACAAAAUGUCCAGACGUGCUGGAGCACAUUUCAUUCUAAAUAAAGCUCACUUGUUUUGAAA